rnacentral:rRNA from 1 species
UACGGAGGGUGCAAGCGUUGUCCGGAUUUAUUGGGUUUAAAGGGUGCGUAGGCGGCUUUUUAAGUCAGUGGUGAAAGACAACAGCUCAACUGUUGCAGUGCCAUUGAUACUGAAGAGCUUGAGUACAGAUGAGGUAGGCGGAAUUCCUGGUGUAGCGGUGAAAUGCGCAGAUAUCAGGAGGAACACCGGUGGCGAAGGCGGAUCUCUGGGCCGAUACUGACGCUGAGGAGCGAAAAGCGUGGGGGGAGCGAAACAGGG